rnacentral:lncRNA from 1 species
AUGAACUAAAGAUCAACCGAAUGAAAUGAACUCUAGAUUAUUUUAGAUCAAAUAAAUAUAUCAUUUUUUUAAUCAAAAGCUACACAAACAUAUAUUCGGAGUAAUACAAAGUCAGUUAAAUAAAUGUGAAUAAGAAAGUAAUGAGGAAGGUAAGGAGCUAGAUACUAUAAGUUCCUAUUGGAGGAACAAGCUUCCGAUGAUUUAGACCCUGAGCGCUACGAUAGUCCUAAUAGCUGUUGACCCAAUAUUUUGGGUCAAUAACGAGUUCCAAAAUAGAACUCCAGCUCCCGAAUGUACAUGAAAUAAAAGAGAUAAAAGAAAAGAGAUUGAAUUAGUGUCUUAAUUCCAGAUGAGUUAAGUAAAUAAGGAUGAGGAAACUUAUAAGAAGAAGAACUUGCAGUGAAAAUAAAUACACGCUAUAUGCUUCGAAAGAGGGAAUGAGAACAAAAUUAGACAUAAUAUAUCAAUAGGCAAAGAUCAGUGAUAGCAUGCCAGACAACGAUGUCCUCAGUCAUGAGCAAAUAUGUGCCUGUACCUUCUUAUAUAUGCUUGAAAACUAUAUCAUGUUUAAGUAUAAUCUCAAAGGAAACAAUGUAAUUCUUAUUCUAUAUAUAUAAAUUUUGUUAACUCCAACUUGAUAUUCACGAGAUUUAAAGACAAAAGUUUAUAGGUUCCAGGGAAAAGGUUGUUAUUUUUUGGUCUAUGGUAGGAAGGUCCUAUCAUGUUUUUAAUAUUUCCUGAAGCAUACCAAAAUUCUACCAGUUCGAUGCACUUUAAGUUAAUAGGGGUACACAAAUCUCUCAAAAAAAAGAACAUAAACAUACUCCGACGAAAUAGGAAUCUUAAACGGUGAACUAUAAAUUGAACUAACUUCACUCUAAUCUGGAGAGGAUUUAAUUAAAUGGAAACAAAAAGUGUAUGUUAUAAACUUGAAAUCAGUGACUACAAUAUUCUGCCACGAGUUAUAUAGAUCGCAUCCAUUGACCACGCAAGCAUACAAUCAGCCACAACUAGGUACACAUAACAAAAUGACUUUCAAACCAUGUUUAAGUAUUCACCAAUGAAAAAUAUAUCAGAUUUCUAUUAACUUAAAGUUGCAGAGUUUAAGACAUGCUGGUUAACACAAAAAUGACUCUUAUUUUACUACUAUAAAAGUUUCUCUCAGAAAGCUCAAUAUUAGGACAGCCGCAUUGACGAUUUUUGAGAAAAAAUAAAUAAAUAAAAGAAAACUAGGGACGAUGAAAUGAUAAGGCGAAAAUAUAUUCAACUGGUCGCACAUAUCCAAGAGUAUAAUAGCAUACUAGUUUCGACUCGACAAACUUCUUUAAAAGUAAUCCCGGUAUUUUGGUUUCCAUACAACAAAGCCAUAUUUCUUUUGAUAGAACUCAAUUCAAACAGAGCAAACACUAACAUUUAUAAUCACCGUCCAUUCAGUAACAAGCUUUAAAAAACAAAGUAUCCGGCUUAAAUUUUGUCAACACAUGAACACGAACCAGAUUUCUGAAACAAUGGCCGCCUGUUGGGACAGACAACUUGUAUAGGGCAGCAAACUAAGGCUUUGAUGUCAAGGAUUCCGAC